rnacentral:rRNA from 1 species
UACGAAGGGGGCUAGCGUUGUUCGGAUUUACUGGGCGUAAAGGGCGCGUAGGCGGCCACCGCAAGUCAGUUGUGAAAUCUCUGGGCUUAACCCAGAAAGGUCAACUGAUACUGCGGGGCUAGAGUGCAGAAGGGGCAACUGGAAUUCUCGGUGUAGCGGUGAAAUGCGUAGAUAUCGAGAGGAACACCUGCGGCGAAGGCGGGUUGCUGGGCUGACACUGACGCUGAAGCGCGAAAGCUAGGGGAGCGAACGGG